AGCAGCCGCGGUAAUUCCAGCUCCAAUAGCGUAUAUUAAAGUUGUUGCAGUUAAAAAGCUCGUAGUUGAAUUUCGGGAUCAAUACGUCGGUCGUGCUUCGGUACGUACUAACGUCAUUGAUUUCUCCCUUCUGACGAAUCGUGAUGUCAUUAAUUUGGUGUUACGGGGAGUUAGGACUGUUACUUUGAAAAAUUAGAGUGUUUAAAGCAAGCAAUCGCUCGAAUACAUUAGCAUGGAAUAAUGAAAUAGGACGUUCGAACCUAUUUUGUUGGUUUCUAGGAUCGACGUAAUGAUUAAUAGGGAUAGUUGGGGGCAUUAGUAUUCAAUUGUCAGAGGUGAAAUUCUUGGAUUUAUUGAAGACUAACUACUGCGAAAGCAUUUUGCCAAGGAUGUUUUCAUUAAUCAAGAACGAAAGUUAGGGGAUCGAAGACGAUCAGAUACCGUCGUAGUCUUAACCAUAAACUAU
rnacentral:rRNA from 1 species